rnacentral:rRNA from 1 species
AUGCAAGUCGAGCGAGAAGUUUUGAAAAGAUUCUUCGGAUGAAAUUUAAAAUGGAAAGCGGCGGACGGGUGAGUAACGCGUAGGCAACCUGCCCCAUACAAAGGGAUAGCAUUUGGAAACGAAUAUUAAUACCUUAUGAAACUUAACUAGUGCAUGCUAGGUAGGUCAAAGAUUUAUCGGUAUGGGAUGGGCCUGCGUCUGAUUAGCUAGUUGGUGAGGUAACGGCUCACCAAGGCGACGAUCAGUAGCCGACCUGAGAGGGUGAACGGCCACAUUGGAACUGAGACACGGUCCAAACUCCUACGGGAGGCAGCAGUGGGGAAUAUUGCACAAUGGGGGAAACCCUGAUGCAGCAACGCCGCGUGAACGAUGAAGGCCUUUGGGUCGUAAAGUUCUGUUCUAGGUGAUGAAAACUGACAGUAACCUAGGAGAAAGCCCCGGCUAACUCCGUGCCAGCAGCCGCGGUAAUACGGAGGGGGCAAGCGUUAUCCGGAAUUAUUGGGCGUAAAGGGUACGUAGGUGGCCUUUUAAGCGUAGGGUAUAAGGCAAUGGCUCAACCAUUGUUCGCCCUAUGAACUGGAAGGCUUGAGUGCAGGAGAGGAAAGCGGAAUUCCUAGUGUAGCGGUGGAAUGCAUAGAUAUUAGGAGGAACAUCAGCGGCGAAGGCGGCUUUCUGGACUGCAACUGACACUGAGGUACGAAAGCGUGGGGAGCAAACAGGAUUAGAUACCCUGGUAGUCCACGCCGUAAACGAUGAGCACUAGGUGUCGGGGUCGUAAGGCUUCGGUGCCGU